ACUCCUACGGGAGGCAGCAGUGGGGAAUGCUUGCGCAAUGGGCGAAAGCCUGACGCAGCAACGCCGCGUGAGUGAUGAAGGCCUUCGGGUCGUAAAGCGUCUGUCAGGAGGGAAGAAUAAAUGACGGUACCUCCAAAGGAAGCACCGGCUAACUCCGUGCCAGCAGCCGCGGUAAUACGGAGGGUGCAAACGUUGCUCGGAAUCAUUGGGCGUAAAGCGCGCGUAGGCGGCCUAGUAAGUCUGAUGUGAAAGCCCAGGGCUCAACCCUGGAAAG
rnacentral:rRNA from 1 species